GGGGUCGUGGCUCAGCGGUAGAGCACUCACCUGGCACGCGUGAGGCCCUGGGUUCGAUCCUCAGCACCCCA
rnacentral:tRNA from 1 species